CCUACGGGUGACAGCAGUCGAGAAUCAUUCACAAUGGGGGAAACCCUGAUGGUGCGACGCCGCGUGGGGGAAUGAAGGUCUUCGGAUUGUAAACCCCUGUCAUGUGGGAGCAAAUUAAAAAGAUCGUACCACAAGAGGAAGAGACGGCUAACUCUGUGCCAGCAGCCGCGGUAAUACAGAGGUCUCAAGCGUUGUUCGGAAUCACUGGGCGUAAAGCGUGCGUAGGCUGUUUCGUAAGUCGUGUGUGAAAGGCGCGGGCUCAACCCGCGGACGGCACAUGAUACUGCGAGACUAGAGUAAGGGAGGGGGAACCGGAAUUCUCGGUGUAGCAGUGAAAUGCGUAGAUAUCGAGAGGAACACUCGUGGCGAAGGCGGGUUCCUGGACAUUAACUGACGCUGAGGCACGAAGGCCAGGGGAGCGAAAGGGAUUAGAUACCCCAGUAGUC
rnacentral:rRNA from 1 species